rnacentral:lncRNA from 1 species
CACCAACCUGGAAGCUCUCUGAACACCAGCCCUUUGGGUCUUUAUGGAGGCUUCAUUACACAGGUGCAGGCAUCAGGCAGAGGGGCCAGAACAUCAGCUGGACCCUGAGGCUGGGCUGGAGGAUGGCCUUGGACCCGCAUCUCUCCUGAGCUAGGCAGGCUCAUUCACCCACACCCCGGUCCCUCGGGCACAGUCCGCCAUGUGGCCCCAACCGCAGAGGCAGAGCCUGCCCCAGCAGGAGACCCCUGGAGUCUGGAGUGGAAGCCCCGUGCUUGUGGGAGCUUGAGCCGUGGAGAGCAUCUCCUCCCACGUACUGCCCUCUGAGGCCGAGCUCCGGCCCCUCCUGCCCGGCCUGCUGAUGUCCACUGACUGGACCACCGGUCUCCGGGAGCUGCUUUGAGGCUUGAUGACCCUUCAGAGCAGGGCGUUCUCCCCACUCGGCUGAACUCACAUUGGUUUUUAUCGCAUCCUGGUUUCACAGCGGAAGCAGCCUAGCAGGGCGGUCAAGACUACAGCAGGUGCUGGGAAGACAGGGUGAAGGAGAAAGGCAGCCGCUCGGGCGGACGCUCGAAGGAAGGAAAGCCUUCCCUGCUCGGCAGCCCGAGCAUCACAGCUGCAGCGCAGACGGUCCCCAUUCAAGAGCAUGCAAUAAUUGUGUCUGAGAAGUUCGAGACGUGUAGAAAUGAUAGUCGAGCAUUGGAAGAGAGAGGAAAUAGACCAUGAGAGCAAAAUGACCAACUUGCUGAAGACAGACCGAUAGCAUGCAGAAAAGAGGAGAAAGACGGGACAGGAGAAAAGUGAAUACUGCAGGAUCCGUCAAACUGCAGAUGCCGAUGGGGAUCAUCCACAAGCGCUGGGGACCGCAGGCUCUGAGACGGGAAACUCGGAACUCACGCAUUCGCAGAGCGAGCCAUGGGGAGGCUCUGACACCUCCUGAAUAAAUACAGCGGUGCUUUACUACCAAUCAUGGGGGCGUUCUACCAAGCCAGAUGCCACACCUGAUACAGCCAGUUAUUGUUGUUAUUGUCGUUACUACAACUGCUACCUCGAGAAGUUUGGGGUCUAAUAAGGAAAACAUACGUAAACACAUAAAAAGAAUCCAGGCCAUUCAUUAGUAUAAGAGAUGUUUGAAUAAUGGACUAUGUGAUGCAUAAGAGGAAAUAUCACUUGGGCAUCAGGGAAGGUUCUGGAGAACAGGGGACAUCUGAGCUGUGUCUUGAAGCGUAAGUAGGAGUUCAUGAGGUAGAAAGGGGAGAAGUGCAUUCUGGGUAGAGGGAGCCGCAUGUACUCAGUCUCAGGGCGUGGAAGUACUUGGCAGGUCUUGG